rnacentral:rRNA from 1 species
UUUAAUAGUCGAACAGACUAGCUUACUUAGCUGCUACACCAAGCAGCCCCUUUAAUUCAACAUCGAGGUCACAAGAUCUUUUAUUGAUUAGGCCUCUUUAAAAGCAUUGUGCUGUUAUCCCUGAGGUAACUACUCUUUAACUUGAUAAAGAUCCCAAAACAGCUACAGGAUAGGCUUAUAAGUUAGAUUCAUUAACGUACCGCCCCAGUUUGACAUAAUAGCAACAAACCCCCAUAUUGUUUGGGCCUAAGUUCAUCUUUAAGCCAGCUCUGCAGGGUCUUAUCUUCCCAUUGGUUGGAGUUGAAGUUUUAAUCAACUACUUAAAUUAAAGCAGUACGGACUUACAAGUCGCCUUUCAUGAGCCCCUUCAUUCGAGACCCCAAUUAAGAGCCAAAUUAUUAUGCUACCUUUGCACAGUUAAGG